ensembl:lncRNA
UGUUUUUGUUUUUUUUUUUUUUUUAUCCCACCGUCUGUCGGGUCCUAAAACUCAAGUCAUCAGGUUUGACAGCAGAGUGCCCUUACCUGCUGAACUGUUUCACCGCCCUGUGGUCUUAUUGUAGGUGGGCACCAAUGGCAUCAUCUCCACCCAGGACUUACCCAGGGAGACUUAAUAUGUCAUUGAUGAUUUACCUACUGACUUCCCAGCCAUUGCCCCAUUCCUGGCUGACAUCCACUCUAGUCACAGCAGUGGCUGGAUCCUGUAUGGAGGACACCUCCUGGGCUGUGCUGAGUCUGGCUGCUUGCUACCUGUGCACAGGCUUCCCGCUGACCGGGUCCAGUUUCCCCACUACCCACUUCUUCCUGGCCACCUGGGAGCAAGUGGGCGCCUAGGAGGAGGACAAGCUUGGGGCUGCAUGGUCUGGAGAGUUUGUUUAUAUAGUGGAUUACGUCGAUGGAUUUCCGUGUGUUAAACCAUCCCUGCAUCCCUGGGAUGAAGCCUACUUGAUGAUGAUGGGUGAUUGUUUUGAUAUGCUCCUGGAUUCGGUUUGCAAGAAUUUUAUUGAGUAUUUUCUGUUGAUAUUCAUAAGGGAAAUUGGUCUGAAGUUCUCUUUCUUUGUUGGGUCUUUGUAUGGUUUAGGAAUAAGAGUAAUUGUGGCUUCAUAGAAGGAAUUCGGUAGUGCUCCACCUAUUUCAAUUUCAUGGAAUAGUUUGGAUAGUAUUGGUAUGAGGUCUUCUAUGAAGGUCUGAUAGAAUUCUGCACUGAACCAAUCUGGACAUGGGCUCUUUUUGGUUGGGAGACUUUUAAUGACUGCUUCAGAUUCAAUGCAAUCCCCAUCAAAACUCCAAGCCAAUUCUUCAUAGAGUUAGACAGAACAACUUGCAAAUUCGUCCGGAAUAACAAAAAAGCCCAGGGUAGCUAAAACUAUCCUCAACAAUAAAAAGACUUCCGGGGAAAUCAAUAUCCCUGAACUCAAGCAGUGUUACAGAGCAAUAGUGAUAAAAACUGUAUGGUAUUGGUGUAGAGACAGACAGAUAGACCAGUGGAAUAGAAUUGAAGACCCAGAAAUGAACCCACACAGCUAUGGUCACUUAAGUUUUGACAAAGGAGCCAAGCAAAAAGGAUAGCAUUUUCAGAAAAUGGUGCUGGUUCAAAUGGAG